rnacentral:misc_RNA from 1 species
GAUGAAGAACGUAGCGAAAUGCGAUAAGUAAUGUGAAUUGCAGAAUUCAGUGAAUCAUCGAAUCUUUGAACGCACAUUGCGCCCUUUGGCAUUCCGAAGGGCACACCUGUCCGAGCGCCGUCGCACAACUGAGGCGCAGCCUUGCGUUGGCGGGCGACUUGUGAGUAGCGAGUCGCCGCCCAAACGAGACGGCGCCGCGCCGCGGCCGACGAAGCACGAAAGCGGAAGUCGACGCGGAGGCGGUUGCCUGUAGGAAGACACAGCUUGGCCUCGGAUCAGGUGGGGAUACCCGCUGAACUUAAGCAUAUCAAUAAGCGGAAGA